rnacentral:rRNA from 1 species
GACGAACGCUGGCGGCGUGCUUAACACAUGCAAGUCGAACGGCAAGGCCCUGCGUUUGUGGGGUUCUCGAGUGGCGAACGGGUACGUAACACGUGAGUAACCUACCCUUGACUUUGGUAUAACUUCAGGAAACUGGGGCUAAUACAGGAUAGGAUCUCCUGCUGCAUGGAGAGGGUUGGAAAGUUUCGGCGGUCGGGGAUGGACUCGCGGCUUAUCAGCUUGCUGGUGGGGUAGUGGCUUGCCCAGCCAUUGAAGGGUCGCCGGCCUGAGAGGGUGACCGGCGACAUGGGGACUGCGGUACGGCCCAGACUCCUACGGGAGGCAGCAGUGGGGAAUAUUGCACAAUGGGCCGAAGCCUGAUGAAGCGACGCCGCGUGCGGGAUGACGGCCUUCGGGGUGUAAACCGCUUUAGCCUGUGACGAAGCGGGAGUGACGGUAAUGGGUAAAGAAGCACCGGCUAACUACGUG